UGCUAAAAAUGUCAGUCUGAAUGUAACAUGUCUGUUGAUGGCACCCCUAUCACUCACAAUGCACUAAUUCUAAACUUGGAUAUAUCUACAAUGAAAAUGAUGAUCUUUCAUUUGAUACACAUACUAAACAUGUAUCUAGAGUAGUCUUCAUUUUACUUAAGAAAUAUUGCAAAACUUAGAUUAUGUUAGCAUUCCAUGAUGCUGAAUAACUUAUCUGUGCUUUUAUUACUUCUACAUGGAUCACUAUAAGGCUUUGUGGCUGAUAACAGACUUAAUUUAGUUCAAAAUACAGCGGCUGAAGAGCUUACAAGAGCCAGGAAAUAUGAACAGUAUAUAUCACCCCUGUUUUGCUUUCUUUACAUUUUCUUUCUGCAAAUUUUGUAUUUUGUAUUGAAUUAUUAGGUACUGGUGAUCACAUGUAUCACUUUGCAUAGUUAAGGAUCUCAAUAUUUGAGUUACCUUUUAAUUCCUUACAAUCACUCUUACAGGAAGUGGAAUAUCUUGUUGUCUCUAGAAUAAAAAAAGCUGUAGCUGGAAAUAAAACAGUAGUUUGUAAAGCACACUGUUUUAGGAACAACCCUGCCAAAGUGGUUUGAGAUUCUGACAGUCUGUCAGCCUUCAAAUCUAGGAUAAAAAUAUAUUUGCUUAGUCAGUCCAAUAAGUAAAAUUUACAAUGAAUCUGCAUUCCUAUUUGUCCUUUGUCUUUUCUUUUUAAACUUGCUAUGUUAUUUUUAAUUUGUGUAAAACAAAACAGACCAUUUUUUAUUUUGUUCAAUUAUAAUCUGGUACUGACACCAAGAUUUUUGUCUCCAGGUUUAUGGCCUGGAAAUAGUUAAAGCUGCUUUGUGACAAUACUAAUUGUAAAAUGCACAAAAUAAUUCAAAUUUGAUUGCUUGAUUAAAACAGUUAUUUAGUAUUGUGAGUGAUUACUGUAGAUACAGAAUUUAAACUUGCUAAAGCUAUCCUGCUUUUUUGUCAUUUUUAUAGAAACACAUAACUAUUCAAUUGGGAGAGUCAGUACCACUGCUGACUCAAUGCAACAGAUGUUGCACCUUGUUCCAUUGUCCUUUUGUAGUGGUAAUGUUUUUAAGCCCUCCAAACUGGAAAAAUUAAAAAAGCAUUUGAAGAGUCAUUUCAAGAAGGCAGUUCUCCAUGAAGUAACAUGACAAAACGAAUAUCUUCAGGCACAUGGAUACUAAUUAAAAACAAGAAUCUUCCACAGCAGUUGGUUGGGUCAGUGGAUUGUGGAGUAUUCAUGUUGAUGGACAAAGGCGUUCACUAAAGGGGCACUGGAGAGUGUGAAUGAGACCCAGAGCAGUGAGGAGGAACCACUAAUAAAAAGGGACCUCCACACUGCAGUAAAAUGGUUGCACCAACAUAGACAGUUGUUCAGA